GACGAACGCUGGCGGCGUGCUUAACGCAUGCAAGUCGAACGGAAAGGCCCUGCUUUUGUGGGGUGCUCGAGUGGCGAACGGGUGAGUAACACGUGAGUAACCUGCCCUUGACUUUGGGAUAACUUCAGGAAACUGGGGCUAAUACCGGAUAGGAGCUCCUGCUGCAUGGUGGGGGUUGGAAAGUUUCGGCGGUUGGGGAUGGACUCGCGGCUUAUCAGCUUGUUGGUGGGGUAGUGGCUUACCAAGGCUUUGACUGGUAGCCGGCCUGAGAGGGUGACCGGCCACAUUGGGACUGAGAUACGGCCCAGACUCCUACGGGAGGCAGCAGUGGGGAAUAUUGCACAAUGGGCGGAAGCCUGAUGCAGCAACGCCGCGUGCGGGAUGACGGCCUUCGGGUUGUAAACCGCUUUCGCCUGUGACGAAGCGUGAGUGACGGUAAUGGGUAAAGAAGCACCGGCUAACUACGUG
rnacentral:rRNA from 1 species